UACGGGGGGAGCAAGCGUUGUUCGGAUUUACUGGGCGUAAAGGGCGCGUAGGCGGCGCAACAAGUCAGUUGUGAAAUCUCCGGGCUUAACCCGGAAAGGUCAACUGAUACUGUGCGACUAGAGUGCGGAAGGGGCAACUGGAAUUCUCGGUGUAGCGGUGAAAUGCGUAGAUAUCGAGAGGAACACCUGCGGCGAAGGCGGGUUGCUGGGCCGACACUGACGCUGAUGCGCGAAAGCCAGGGAGCGAACGGG
rnacentral:rRNA from 1 species